rnacentral:rRNA from 1 species
GACAGAGGGUGCAAACGUUGCUCGGAAUCACUGGGCGUAAAGGGCGUGUAGGCGGGAAGGAAAGUCAGAUGUGAAAGCCCUGGGCUCAACCCAGGAACUGCAUUUGAAACUCCCUUUCUUGAGUGUCGGAGAGGAAAGCGGAAUUCCUGGUGUAGAGGUGAAAUUCGUAGAUAUCAGGAGGAACACCGGUGGCGAAGGCGGCUUUCUGGACGACAACUGACGCUGAGACGCGAAAGCGUGGGUAGCAAACAGG